GUGCUUGAUUCAGCAGCACUUACACUAAAAUUGGAAUGUUACAGAGAAGAUUAACAUAGCUCCUGCACAAGGAUGACUUGCAAAUUCAUGAGGUGUUCUAUAUUUUU
ensembl:snRNA U6 U6 spliceosomal RNA